UACGUAGGGUGCAAGCGUUAAUCGGAAUUACUGGGCGUAAAGCGUGCGCAGGCGGUUAUGCAAGACAGAUGUGAAAUCCCCGGGCUUAACCUGGGAACCGCAUUUGUGACUGCAUAGCUGGAGUACGGCAGAGGGGGAGUGGAAUUCCGCGUGUAGCAGUGAAAUGCGUAGAUAUGCGGAGGAACACCGAUGGCGAAGGCAGUCCCCUGGGCCUGUACUGACGCUCAUGCACGAAAGCGUGGGGAGCAAACAGG
rnacentral:rRNA from 1 species